GGACACAGCAGGAACUCAGACGCUGAUGGAAAGAACAACCUGUAUCAGUCAUUGACAAAAUCUGCAUGAAGUCUACAGACCAGCAGAAUGGAGACAGGGAUGCUAAUACAAGGAAAAGGUCUCAAGUUGCUGCUCAAACUGUGACUGACAGCAUGGAUUCUCCGGAUCAUCUGGUUUUCAGACUGAACUGGAACCAUUGUCUUUCCUGAGGUUCCAGCUUGCUAACUGCAGACUGUGGGACUUAAAGACUCCAUAAUGACAUGAGCCUAUUCUUUACAAUAAGUAUCCCCUUAUAUUCUAUCUAUCAUCUAUGUAUGUA